rfam:Oryza meridionalis cultivar OR44 (W2112) chromosome 11, whole genome shotgun sequence.
CUAAAGUGUAACCAUAGAUUUCUACAUUCAACUUUGUUCGUUCGUUAUAUUUAAAAAAUAAUAAUAAUUAGUGUUUUUUUAUAAGAUGAUAAAAUAUGAAUAUUACUUUACUCGUGACUUAUAUUUUAAUCUUUUAAAAAAAAUUUUAAAUAAGAUGAAUAGUUAAAGUUGGACGCGGAAAACUACGGUUGCAUUUAAA